AGGCCAGGUCCUUUUGGUUCCAUGCGUGGGAGCCAGGUGCAAAGACGAAUGUGCUCUCAGCAGAACGACCCUGGGCUCUGCUUAUCUCCGAGGACAGGAUCUAAUCUCACACUGAAUUUCAGAAGGGAGACCGAUCAUGUUGGCAAUGCCCCCCUCCUGUAUGCAAAUAUUAAAAACCUUGUGUAGGAUCAGCAAGUGUGCCCAUACGGAAGGUCUGCACGGCUGCGAUGAGUCAUAAGAAAGAAGUGAGACCUGAUAAACAUCGAUGCGAAAAUCCUUAUGCAAAAAUUAAUUCAAGAUGGAUUAAAGACUUAAAUGUUAGACCUAAAACCGUAAAAACCCUAGAAGAAAACUUAGGCAAUACCAUUCAGGACAUAGGCAUGGGCAAGGACUUCAUGACUAAAACACCAAAAGCAAUGGCAACAAAAGCCAAAAUUGACAAAUGAGAUCUAAUUAAAGAGUUUCUGCACAGCAAUAGAAACCACUAUCAGAGUGAACAAGCAACCUACAAAAUGGGAGAAAAUUUUUGCAAUCUACCCAUCUGACAAAGGGCUAAUAUCCAGAAUCUACAAAAAAUGCAAACCAAUUUACAAGGAAAAAACAAACAACCCCAUCAAAAAGUGGGCGAAGGAUAUGAACAGACACUUCCCAAAGAAGACAUUUAUGCAGCCAACAGACACAUGAAAAAAUGUUCAUCAUCACUGGCCAUCAGAGAAAUGCAAAUCAAAACCACAAUGAGAUACCAUCUCACACCAGUUAGAAUGGCGAUCAUUAAAAAGUCAGGAAAACAAUAGAUGCUGGAGAGGAUGUGGAGAAAAGGAAUGCUUUUACACUGUUGGUGGGACUGUAAAGUAGUUCAACCAUUGUGGAAGACAGUGUGGCGAUUCCUCAAGCAUCUAGAACUAGAAAUACCAUUUGACCCAGCGAUCCAAUUACUUGGCAUAUACCCAAGGGACUAUAAAUCAUGCUGCUAUAAAGACACAUGCACACGUAUGUUUAUUGCAGCACUAUUUAAAAUAGCAAAGACUUGGAACCAACCCAAAUGUCCAUCAGUGCUAGACUGGAUUAAGAAAAUGUGGCACAUAUACACCAAGGAAUACUAUGCAGCCAUAAAAAAACGAUGAGUUCAUGUCCUUUUCAGGGACAUGGAUGCAGCUGGAAACCAUCAUUCUGAGCAAACUAUCGCAAGGACAGAAAACCAAACACCGCAUGUUCUCACUCAUAGGUGGGAAUUGAACAAUGAGAACACAUGGACACAGGGCGGGGAUCAUCAUAUCCCGUCUGUCGUGGGGUGGGGGUCAGGGGGAGGGAUAGCAUUAGGAGAAAUACCUAAUGUAAAUUACGAGUUAAUGGGUACAGCAAACCAACAUGGCACAUGUAUACCCUACGUAACAAACCUGCACGUUGUGCACAUGUACCCUAGAACUUAAAAUAUAAUUUAAAAAAAUUAAAAAAAGAAGGAAGAGUUCAUGGGGACCAGCUGCAGGGACCGCACUCACUCACCUCCACGGAGUAAUGUCCAUGGGCUGAAGAAAGCCUGGUGCAGCCACAGCCCGGGCAGGUCGGGGUGCUCCUGGAAGCUGGCGUCCAGCCUCCUCACCAGCGGGUGGAUCGUGGCAUGGCCGAAGCGGAAGGCGGCUGUGGAGAACACGUUGGACACAGUGGGGUUGGCGGUGGAGUCAUAGCCUUCAUAGGGACCCACGUACUGCUGGAAGGCCUCGGGUCCCAGGAUCCUGGGGAUGUAAUCCCUCAGGGUGAUGAUCUGUGCAGAUAGGAAAAGCAUCUCAGUGAGGCCCAGGAUACCAGAGGAGGGUCGCCUCGAGCGGCAGUGUGGAAGAGCAUCUUCCUUGACAGCCCCAGGGAACUGGACCCUUCUCGUCUUGUAAUAAGGGCCUCAGCUGAACUUCCCAGAAAUGCCUUCUUGCUGAUUUUUUCAUGGAUAUUCAGGAGGUGCGUUUAUAGGGCUGACUAGAGAGCCUCCUUCCCAGGAUGGUGAUGGGGCUGGCAGUGGCAAGAGACAGCACCUCUGUCGAGCCAACAAUGGCCACCGGGCCAGGCUGGGCAGCUAGACUCCUGGCUGGAUGAUUGACAGUGGGGAGCAGUUCCUUUUUCUACAAAGCAACAAUAAUACCUAAUUCCCAGAGCCUUUGUGAGGAUUAAAUCAAAGCAUGUUGUAUGGCAGAGAGCUCUGUCGAUGGAAAAUUACAGUUGCAAUCACAGGGCCUGGAAAUUACGAUUUGAUACAUGGUCCCAGGAGAAUUAUGUACCAAGAUUCUACUUUCAGGUUUAACAGUGUUUCUUUCAGACAGAAAAAUCAGUGUCAAGUUGUUUUGGUAUUUAAGGGGAAUAUUUUGGUCAAUAAACUGCAUCCAAAUGAAGCAUAAUAGGAA